ensembl:lncRNA
CAGCCCUCUGUUAUUUAAGUCUGGAGUGAUGGGGAAUGCUGUGAGCCACCCACCCGUUCCAGCCCCAGGAGGUAGGCUCAGCUUUUUGCAAUCAGGAUGAUUAAUUGUGGACUCAUAUAAAAACCUGAGGGGGGUAGGGGUGAAGCCUUUUUGCAGCUUCCUUAGUAGAGUGUGUAGUUAUAGGGGCAGUCUUCCUAUUCUGUUUUGUUUUUGUUUGGUAUCACCUGUUUAUUUCUUUGAUGCUCCAAGAAUAAGUGAUGCAAGGCACUCUACUAUUUGGGAAUCAGAUCUGCACUUCCUCAAGAGAUGUUAAAAAGUGAAUGUGACACCUACUCCUCCACAGCUCUGGCUAUUCAAGCACCUUUCUUAUAGUGAUGAAGGGAGUACAUCAUCAGGGCAACGUGUAUGUGGAUGGUGUUGAACUUCUGCUGUCUGUUUUACUGUGAUUUAGCGUCAGCACAUACAGCACUGGAAAUUCUACUGCUUGUGGCACACAGCCCUGCCCUCUGCUUUUCCUUUCUCCAGUAAGGGCUUGCUGCUCCUCCUGCUGUUCAGCCAUCACCCGUUGAAUUCUAAGCCAAGCAACCUCAAAGGGUUAAUUGUCUUACUUCACUAUUCAAAAUAUACCAUGGCUGUUAAGCACGUAACUCAUGGGUUCUACCAACUCUUCUGCAAAAAUACAAGCAGGUAAACCACCAGAAAGCAGCUUUGUACCACUGAAAAGAAGCUUCACCCAGACCCUCCUGCUGCCUCUGACCCUUCAGUGCCAGUGGAGCCAGCUCCAUGUCCUCCAUCGUCCACAGCCCGCCCACCACCACCUCCUCCAGGGAUUUCUCUGACUUCUAAAUCAACAGAGGACUGCAAAGCCUUGGAGAGAGGGUUCUCAUCUUUCCCUUUACUGAGUGCUAUGCUAUACCCUGGCCAGGCUGUGCUCUGCGAAGCUCCUGGACAAGCUCUUCCCAGCAGGAGCAGCACCAAGUGCAGAUAGAAAACACUUCUGAAGUCGUGCAUCCCAUCUGAUAUUUAAAUGCAAAGAACCUAGGAAGGAUAGUCCUGGAUUACUGCUGCUUACAAGGAAGUGUACUUCUACAGAGGUCCAAAAGCCCUUCUGUACUCGGAAGCUGGGAUGGUUUGGCUUUGCUCUCCUUUAGCACUGAUGCAGCUUCAUUACCACCCAACAGGAAGUGAUGGUUACACUGCUGUCAAACUGGUGGAAAUAACAGGAUUAUCUUUGACUAACCAUGGGGUUUCCCACCUCAGGAACUGGAACAUCCUGAAAUCAUUCUGCUCCCAGACACGUCUUCUUUUUUUCCGUUUAGAUUAAAUAAUAUAUUUAGGGCCUCUGAAUGGCCUUAUGGUCUUCUGAGUGUGAAGCCUGCAAAAACAAGUGGGAAGGAAAAAGGCAGGUGGAGGAAAGGCUCAGCGAGAAGGCAAAGCUCUACCAGCCAAACCCAACUUCUCUUCAACUUACACAAAGGUAUUUGUCCAUCAAGAGAAAGGUGGGACCCUGGAAAGUCAUUCUAACCAACAUUUGAAAGUCUAUAAAUUCUGGAGGGACCAGGAAGAGUGCAAACAUUUUGUAAUUAGGGGCAAAACCCUGAGUGCUCCUACAAGUGUACUACAAGAGCACUACAAGUACUGAUAGUGAAGCCUCACUUCACUAUCAGUCCUGGGGCUCCCUGCCUCUCCCACCCCCCCCAGCCCAUGUACAGGAUGCAUUGUGGCUCCCCCAUCUUCUCAGCAUAUUUUGCUAUACUGAGCCUUUGUUAAUAUCACUUUUUGUUGACGUAUCUGUAUGGAAAACAGAAAAAUCCACUUUGUUGGAUUUGCUUUUGGUCUGAUUCCCUAAAUUCUACAAGGUGUUACAAAAUCCUGAACAUCUUUCAUUUCGGGUUAAUCGAAGUAACUGAUACAAUAGAACGCAAUUUAUUCUCUUUCAAAUGGAACGGUGGAAAACAGGCAUUAUUUUAUGUCCGCCCUCAGUUUGUCUCAGGAAUAUUUUUGCCAAUGGUAUGAGUUGGUUUACGUUCAAAUUUUUCAAUUAUUCUUUUACUUCUUUUUAAAAUGGUCACUUCUCUGGUGUGCAGAUCAAACAUUAAUGAAGUUUGAAAGGUCUUUUUUUUGAGCAACAUAAAACUUAAUAAAAUAAUUUUGCAUUUUACAGCUUUGGUGAGGAAAAGGUGUUAAUUAAGAGUACCAUGGCAAGAAAACUGCUUUCUGGCUCUGCUUACAAACUGGCUUAUUCUUGUAAAUAAUCAGUCCCACCUAAUUACCAGGCCAUAUUGUAUUUACUAGCAACAGUCAAGCAUUCCCAGACCUCAUAGUUUUAAGUCUGUGAAAUGCUUGCACAUUAUGAUCUCACCUCAUGAUACAGAAUCUCCAUUCAAGUUUAUACAUGACGUGGAAAGUCUCCGAGAUGUACUCCGAGGUGUAAAAUUAGUGUAAUUCCACUGGAAUGAAAGAGACGUGCCAAUUUGUAUCAAGUGAAGCUAUGGGCCACAAUGUCUCAAAGACAUUUGCUUUUGUCUGGCAAACAAGCAAGCAAAGUUCUUCAUUUUAAUGGAAAAUAAUGGGUAAGUUUGUCCUUGGUAAUGUACUGAAGCAGAUCAAAGAUGGAACUGCCUUACAAGGCUCUAUUUCACUAACAGACAAUUAAUACGAUAGUAUCAGGGAAAUGAAUAGCUACUCUGUGCCUCGGUGUUUCCCCUUACGGACUGUAAAACUGCUCAGUUUAUCAUUUUCUGUCUUUAGGCAAAAAAGGUAACUCUUAUUUGCAUGUUUGUCAGUUUGUACUUGAGAGUACAAAAUUUACUUAAAAACAAGCUCAGCAAGCUAAAUGGAAUGCCAGUGGUCUUAUUAUCCCAAGAGAGCAAAGCACUUAAGCCCGUGAUUAAAAUGAAGUUAAUUGAAUUUAAACAUGCACUUACAGUAAAGCAUAGAACUAAAUACUUCUCUGAAUAGGAAAGAGAUUAUUCUCACACUUAAAUGUAAGCACUAAUAAUAGUUUUGCUAACAUUGAGGUUUAUAGCCUUCUCUCCGCAGUUCCAACUAUCCCACCAAUAAAACCUGGCACCAACAUCAGAGCUUUUCUAAGAAAUUCGUAUCGGAGAAUGAAGAUCAAGGUGUUGCUUAUACAAUAAAUUGGCAGAGCACAUUUGCAAAAAGAACACAUUAAAUUCUGGGUGUGAUGAGUUGUGUAUAAUAAAGGCAGGAAAGAGUUUAUUUCACAUUGAAUUGUGUGGCUUUCUCAGAAACACAGCCCUGGUUAUAGAGAGUGAAAACACCUAGCUGUUCUAUGAAAUCCCCAAACGUCGGUGUUCAGGGUGUAGUCAGAACUUCACUGCAAAUGCAAC